AACGAACGCUGGCGGCAUGCCUAACACAUGCAAGUCGAACGAGACCUUCGGGUCUAGUGGCGCACGGGUGCGUAACGCGUGGGAACCUGCCCUUAGGUUCGGAAUAACUCCCCGAAAGGGGUGCUAAUACCGGAUAAUGUCUUCGGACCAAAGAUUUAUCGCCUUUGGAUGGGCCCGCGUUGGAUUAGCUAGUUGGUAGGGUAAAAGCCUACCAAGGCGACGAUCCAUAGCUGGUCUGAGAGGAUGAUCAGCCACACUGGGAUUGAGACCCGGCCCAGACUCCUACGGGAGGCAGCAGUGGGGAAUAUUGGACAAUGGGCGAAAGCCUGAUCCAGCAAUGCCGCGUGAGUGAUGAAGGCCUUAGGGUUGUAAAGCUCUUUUACCCGGGAUGAUAAUGACAGUAUCGGGAGAAUAAGCGCCGGCUAACUCCGUG
rnacentral:rRNA from 1 species